UACAGAGGUCCCAAGCGUUGUUCGGAUUCACUGGGCGUAAAGCGCACGUAGGCGGCUUUGUAAGUUAGAGGUGAAAGCCCGGGGCUCAACUCCGGAAUUGCCUUUAAGACUGCAUCGCUCGAAUUGUGGAGAGGUAAGUGGAAUUCCGAGUGUAGAGGUGAAAUUCGUAGAUAUUCGGAAGAACACCAGUGGCGAAGGCGACUCACUGGACACAUAUUGACGCUGAGGUGCGAAAGCGUGGGGAGCAAACAGG
rnacentral:rRNA from 1 species